rnacentral:rRNA from 1 species
CGGUUCAAGCCCCGGACUGUUCUAGUGGCGGACGGGUGAGUAACGCGUGGGCAACCUGCCCCGUACCGGGGGAUAACACCUGGAAACAGGUGCUAAUACCGCAUAAUAAGAGGUUCCGCAUGGGGCCUCCUUGAAAACUCCGGUGGUACGGGAUGGACCCGCGUCUGAUUAGCUGGUUGGCGGGGUAACGGCCCACCAAGGCGACGAUCAGUAGCCGGCCUGAGAGGGUGGACGGCCACAUUGGGACUGAGACACGGCCCAGACUCCUACGGAAGGCAGCAG